rnacentral:rRNA from 1 species
UACGUAGGGUGCAAGCGUUGUCCGGAAUUAUUGGGCGUAAAGAGCUCGUAGGCGGUGUGUCACGUCGUUCGUGAAAACCUGCAGCUUAACUGUGGGCGUGCGGUCGAUACGGGCAUCACUGGAGUUCGGCAGGGGAGACUGGAAUUCCUGGUGUAGCGGUGAAAUGCGCAGAUAUCAGGAGGAACACCGGUGGCGAAGGCAGCUCGCUGGGACGGUACUGACGCUGAGACGCGAAAGCGUGGGGAGCAAACAGG